GGGCACUUAGCUCAGCUGGUUAGAGCGCUACGUUCACAUCGUAGAGGUCGUAGGUUCGACUCCUACAGUGCCCA
rnacentral:tRNA from 6 species